rnacentral:rRNA from 1 species
UGGGGAAUAUUGCACAAUGGGCGCAAGCCUGAUGCAGCCAUGCCGCGUGUAUGAAGAAGGCCUUCGGGUUGUAAAGUACUUUCAGUCGGGAGGAAGGUGGUAAGGUUAAUAACCUUGGCAAUUGACGUUACCGACAGAAGAAGCACCGGCUAACUCCGUGCCAGCAGCCGCGGUAAUACGGAGGGUGCAAGCGUUAAUCGAAAUUACUGGGCGUAAAGCGCACGCAGGCGGUCUGUCAAGUCGGAUGUGAAAUCCCCGGGCUCAACCUGGGAACUGCAUCUGAUACUGGCAAGCUUGAGUCUCGUAGAGGGGGGUAGAAUUCCAGGUGUAGCGGUGAAAUGCGUAGAGAUCUGGAGGAAUACCGGUGGCGAAGGCGGCCCCCUGGACGAAGACUGACGCUCAGGUGCGAAAGCGUGGGGAGCAAACAGG